rnacentral:rRNA from 1 species
UACGAAGGGGGCUAGCGUUGCUCGGAAUUACUGGGCGUAAAGGGCGCGUAGGCGGACAGUUUAGUCAGAGGUGAAAGCCCAGGGCUCAACCCUGGAAUUGCCUUUGAUACUGAUUGUCUUGAGUACGGGAGAGGUGUGUGGAACUCCGAGUGUAGAGGUGAAAUUCGUAGAUAUUCGGAAGAACACCAGUGGCGAAGGCGACACACUGGCCCGUUACUGACGCUGAGGCGCGAAAGCGUGGGGAGCAAACAGG